GGCCGCACGAUGAAGAUGGCAUGCGGAUCCGGCCGUUGAAUAUUUACAAAAAUUGAAUUUCAAAAGCUUUGGUAGAGAGAGGGAGCAGAGCAAGCAAGAGGGGAGGGCGAAGCCGAACAUCAAAAAGGUCCCUUCACUUCUCUUUCUCUCUCUUUCUCUUUCCAUUUCUCAUCUCUUGGUUGAGUUGAGUUCAGCUUCAUCACUUAUCUUCCCCUCUUCUUUGUGCGGUUCCCUCAACCGCUCUCUCAGUCUCUGUCUCUUUCUGUGUGGUUCCUCGGGUUCUGCGUUGCUAUCCGGAUCCAAGUCACUUGAAUUGUGCCCACUAUUCUUCGAGCUUGGGGUCUUGGCUACCGAGCUGCUCAAUCGCGUGUAUUUUUGCGCUUUAUUUAUUUCUCGAGACUUUGGAAUGGGUUUUGGAUCUGGAAGUCAGCCAAUUUCAGCUGAUUUUUGUUGAUUCUGAGGGAAUCAUCGUUGCUCCAACCUCUGCUUUCUUUCUUCUUGAUUAUCCAAGUAUUGAGAAAGGAAUUCGGAACUCUCCGUGAAUUCUUAACAUUUCUAAUUUUUUUUUUUUAGUAUUUAUAUGUGAUGGGGGAAGGAGAAGGAGGUGAUUGCGCUUUGAGAAAUGUGGCAUCGGAUGCACCUACGGUGCCGGUGCUGGUGCCGCCGUCGGAUAUUCCCGCCAAGAAGCUUGCAAGGCAGCUUGAUUUCACCGGCUUAGCCGGGAUGCCGGGCGGCGCGCCAUUUCCAGAGAACUCGCAGUUGCGGCAGCAACAGCAACAACAGCUUCAGCCGCAAGUGGUGGCACAGUCACAGUCACGGUCACAUCCGCAGACAAUGACGCAGCCGAUGGUAAUGAUGCCGAUGCCGCAUCCGCCGCAGGCGCCACGCCUUUCAACGAGGGUUGGUAAAUCAGAAUCUCCAAAACCAAGAUCAAGGACCAAUUUUGAAACAAAAGAAGCUACUCCAAAGAAGCAAAAGCAAUGCAAUUGUAAACACUCAAAGUGCUUAAAGCUAUAUUGUGAAUGUUUUGCAUCGGGAAUAUACUGUGAUGGUUGCAACUGUGUAAAUUGUUACAACAAUGUUGAUAAUGAAGCAGCCAGACGAGAAGCUGUUGGAGCUACCUUAGAACGUAAUCCAAAUGCAUUUAGGCCAAAGAUUGCGAGCAGCCCUCAUGGACCACAUGACAACAGGGAGGAUGCUGGCGAAGUUGUUAUAUUGGGAAAGCACAAUAAGGGAUGUCAUUGUAAAAAGUCUGGCUGCCUCAAGAAGUACUGCGAGUGUUUCCAAGCCAACAUUCUUUGUUCCGAAAAUUGUAAAUGCAUGGAUUGCAAGAAUUUUGAGGGAAGUGAAGAGAGACAAGCAUUGUUCCAUGGAGAUCAAAAUAUCAACAUGACAUAUAUUCAGCAAGCAGCAAAUGCUGCAAUAACUGGUGCUAUCGGUUCCUCUGGCUUUUCAUCACCGCCAGUAUCAAAGAAAAGAAAAGGUCAGGAACUCUCUUUUGUGCCAACAGCCAAGGAUCCAUCCAUUGGAAAGCUAGGAAAACAGGCAAACCAUGUCAAAGGUCCUUUACCCUCCUCCUCCUUUUCUCCUGCCCCUAGUACUCAUGUUGGAACUGCAACAUUAGGUCCUUCAAAAUUUAUAUACCGGUCUGUAUUGGCAGACAUACUACAACCAGAGCACUUGAAGGAGCUUUGUUCAGUCCUAGUGCUACUAUCUGGACAAGCCGCGAAGACAGUAACAGACCAGAAAAAUAUAAUGCACAAACAUAUAGAAGAUCAGACAGAAACUUCCCUUGCUUCUUCAACUCAACAACAGUUACCAAGCCAAAAGGGAACUAAUGUUGAGAAAGCUACGUCUGGUGAUUGUUCAAGUGAGAACCGAAUAGAUAAGGUCAGCCCAGAUAAUUCUAGUUCAGACGGUGUUGGUGUCCUCAAAGGGAGGCCAAUGUCUCCUGGAACUUUAGCAUUAAUGUGCGAUGAGCAUGAUACAAUGUUUAUGACUGCUGUCUCUCCUAGUGAGCCAAUUUCUCACACUUGUAACAUAUCUUCUCAAUUGCCUUGUGGACAAAAAAUGACUGAGUUAUAUGCAGAGCAAGAAAAGAUUGUUUUGACAAAGUUCAGAGAUUUUCUUAAUAGAGUUAUCACUAUGGGAGAAAUAAAUGAAACAAAAUAUUCUUCAUUAGCCAGAAGUGAAUUGGAGAGUCAUAGGGACCCAGUGGUCAAUGGCACUGAAAAUGCUAGAACUGAGACAGUAGAUGAAGGAGCCACUAAAAUUGGUGUUGCCAAAGCUGUUGUUCAUCCUCUGGCGACAAGUAGGAAUUUGACUAAUUCAAUAUCUUUGGUCCAUAGUAAUCUUGUUCCUGAAAAUGGUGAAAAAGAGGUAUGAAAGGAAUCUAACUUACAAGGAUGAAGGAUGUUCAGAAAAUACCAUUAGAAGUAUUUUGAGGGCUUUUCUGGGCUUUGUUCAUUUGUUAUUGUUCAAAUAUUAGAGCCUUACAGUUUGGCCUACAGCACACUAUAAGUGCGGUUUUGUUACGUACAGUUCAACAACUGAUCUUGUAUUAUCUAUUUUGUUUCAUAUAAUUAUGUAGUUGUAUUCUCUGAACUCAAGAUAUAAAAUGAUGUAUUGCCUACAA